UGAAAAAAAUAUUUAAAUCCAAACAUGGAUGUUACAUGGUUUUGAGGAUGGUUGUGUUUGUGUGAGGAAUUUAUCACGGUUGUGUGGCAAACUAAUGGACUAUCUACGGGGAAAGUUGGGAAAAUUGGGACAUUGCGAUUGGAGCUUCCGUGUGCUCUUUUGAUAGAGAUGAUUGAAUUUCACUUUGUGAUACGUAAUAUAUGCCAUCUGGUAUAACAAUAGAGAUCAGAGAGUUAACAUAAACAGAGGGGUAAAGGGUAAUCCAGCUGCUAUUGUGCUAAUGCCAAGGUGUGUCACUUUGGCACCGGUACAGUAAGAUAACACUGAUAACCUGCAUUUUUUGUGUUUGUGGUAACACUAGCUGUAUCAAACAGCCAGUACUUGGCCUUUGAGAUGUUCACUGUGAAGUGUUUAAGCACUUUUAGUACUUUUGAUUCCUGUUUGGUCCCAGGCUUGGCUGUUCAAACAUCACAAUCCAGCCUUUAUUUGCAAAACGCUACUACUUUCCCAAGCAUAAAAAACCUGGAUGUUGGCAUCUCAAACACUGCAUUCAUCCCCAAAAACAUAACUUGAAAUGUGGUUAUGCAAUUAGGCUUUUAACACCUUCCAAAGUAAGCAAAAUUGUACAUUGGCACGAUGAGAGGAGAACAAUAAAAGAGAAACACAAUGGUGUAGCCAAACAGCAGGCACUCACGAAAGGGAAAUAAAAUUGACGUGACUCAUUCCCUCAUGGCUACUCCUCGGUGAGGAAGAGAAAAAAGAAGUGGCACAAAAGAAAAAAAAUCAUCUGAACAUCUCCAAAUCUAAGCCUCAAAUCUGGAUCUGUGCUUCCUGUCCUGACCACGAAUGACUCAUAAAGGGCUAUUAUAUGUGGAAUGGAUAAGGUUCUGUGCCUGCUCUCUGCACCAGAAUUGGAAGACUUUGGCGCUGGACUCUUUAUACGCUUUACAUUACUUUACUUUACUUUAUAAAACCAAAGAAAAUGAGCCCACAAGCUAAACAAUGUCGAGCAAUAGAAUAUACACGAUGGGAUAAACUAGAAUUUUCAAAGUCCAUGGAAAAAAAAUCUGCUAAAUGCACAAAUAAGCCAAUUUACUGGCAAUUCCAUCUACUUUUUAUUCUCUUUCCCUCUGUGCAGUAGCUGGGAACAGUGGGCAGUCCAGAGUAACACCAAAGAGUCUUUGUCCAGAAGUUGGUUUACUGCAGAGAGGAAAACUUGUAGACUGCAGGGCCUGAGUGAAAAACAGGUAUGAUGACAGAGGAUUGGAAUGCACCAAAAUGGGCAAAAGGAGCAAAGGAAGACAAGGAAUGGGAGCGAACAUCAUUAGGGAUGGAAGGGAGUGACUGUGGGCGAGUGGGCAGAUACAGGAUACAAAAGGGGGUUUUGCAAGAUGGAUAGAGUGUGACAUGGCAACAGGACGGGGCGGUGAUAUAGAUAAAGACAGCUAUUGGAGCAGUGUGUGAAGACUGGGAUUGUGAAGCAAGCCUGAGGAUGAUGAUAAGGAGUCCAUUUUGCAGGCAUUCAUGCUUUUUAAUUGUCCUUAAUGUUUCAUGGAGGAUUUUUAUACGUAUGUUUUUAUAUGUAUAUCUAUAUAUAUAUUGGAAAUGAUCAUAUAUAGGGAUUGUAGUGUCUUGUAUGUAAAUGUUAACUCAAGAAGGGACAGUUUUGACCUUAAACAGACAUUUGGAGUGCUGUAUGUUUUAAUAUUUACCAUAUUUGUUCCUCCAGUUUUCCCUUCAGAGAAGUCGGCCGACUAGCUUACACUUUCAGCUGCUUUUAAAGGCGAUGAGAGGGGCUGCAGUGAUUCGCCAACAUUAACUCCACCUCCUCCGACUCCACCUACUAAUACAUUAUAUGUCUAACAGCAUAUUCAUUGUCUUUUCCACAUUGUAAAGUGCAGCUAAAGGAGAGCACUUGCGCCUCUAGUCACCAAAACUGCAAAAAUUAGCCUGUCACAGCCACGUGCCACAACAGCCAAGGGCCACUUCCACCUCUUGGCAUCCAGAGAACAAUACACUGCAUGUGCAGUUUGGAAGAAAACAUAAACCGGGUUGACAUGUUUAACAGCAGGAGCUAUGGCCUCGGGGAGAAUACCUGGAGAUCAAACUGGGAGGAAGGGUCCUGCUGACAGACCAGAGAAAAUAAGGCAAGCCAAAGAGAGAGAAAGAGAUGUAAAGGGAUAAAAUCAAAUAGCUCAUGGCAGAGUGGGGGCAGGGUAACUGAGUGGGCUAAAGGGGAGCAGGGAGGGGUGCAGUAUGCAGACCUGUUAUUUCCUACCCGGUCAGUAUGCUGUGUUCAGAUAACAGUCAGACACUUUUUUGUGUCAGCAUGUGGGAAUGCACAGUUUAUUUUCUCUGUAAGGCAUUGUUUUGGAAACCAGUCACAACACCUUUAAUGUUGCUGGCUCCCCUGCCGCUGAUAAGAACACUGAUUCCGAGAACACACACACACACAUGCACCCACGCACACACACACAUGCACCCACGCACACACACACCCACACCCACGCUUUCAAAUUCCCCCAGAGGUACUUCCUGUGCUCCACUGGAUGUCUCUCUCACCCUCAAUCUCAAUCGCACACACACACACACACACACACACACACACACAGAGAGAGAGAGAGAGAGAGAUUGAAUCGCCCAAAACAUCACAAAUGACAAGAUUAGCCCACAUAAGAGGAGAGCCGAACAUUACGCAAUAAAGGACAGCCACUGGUGAAAUCUACUCUUAAGGGGAGGAGUGCAAAGAUCUGGAAAGAUUACAGUGGGGCGUAUAAUUAUGUUCUUCACCUGACACUUGCUGCCUCUACCUGUGCACCAAACACCUGCAUUAUACUGCCCCCUUCUGCUGUAUGUCCUAUAAAAUAGGAAGCUACUGAAAAGUGGGCUUUCUGAGGUUAUUUUCGUGAAACCUUUUCAGUUAACCUAAACCUCAAUUCCACACAAAAAUAAAAAAUAAAAAUUCAAUUUGGAAUGAUUUCAGUCGAAUGUUGGAGAUGUCACUGCUGUUCCUCCAGCAUUUCCUCUUAUGGAAAUGACCAGCUGUCUGUUCAGCACAGUGGCAAAAGAAAAUGCUGCCAUUGUGUGGACCGGCUGCAUGUGUUUGCAUGUAAUCCGACACCUUUAUGUAAUGCCUUACAUGGGAGAUUUGUGAAUUGGAGGGACGAGAUCCUGGGGAUGUUAAGUCUGCCGGCAAGAGAAUAGGUUGGAUGUUUGCAGAAAUGAGUAACAUUUCCUAUUUUGAAGGGAAGUUGAAGGUUUAUCCAUUUUCGUCAAUGAGUCGGUUGCUACGUCCUGUUUCCAUGGAAACCGGUGCAUCCACACCCAUCGUUUCAUGGGAGAUUGGCUCAGGCAUCCAUGACUAAGUUGUUACAUCCAGCUGCUGCUUGCUCUAACUCAAGGUCUCUGUAUUGGUUAUUGAGUAAACCACUGGUCAAUGAUUGAGCGGUUGUGUGUCAUUCCCGCAGAGUGCCGACAAAGCAAACCAAUGUCUGUCUUAGUUUGCACAUAAUUGUUGCAAUAAUUAUUCACAAGCAAAGUAACUACACUCUAGAAACCAUCAGGCCAACAAAUUGACCCAAUUUGCUUUUUUGAUCCAAAUUGUUUUGUCAAACACAGGUUGACCUGGUAUCUUUUUAACCAUAUUUUUUUAAAAUCCCCCUCCACUCAAAAAUGUGGUUUGGAUGUUUGAACAAAAUGAGCUAAUCAACAUUCACAAUUAGCAUAUUCAUCAGGUCAGGAAUUUUUAAUGAGGCUAGAUUUGAAUGAGAAGAUGACUUUUUAAGGAUUUUAACUUGGAAAUGAUACUUCUAUGCAGAAAUAACAGACACACAUUGUUGUUCCAAGCAACUAUUUAUAAAAACUAUUUUUAUAAAUACAGUAACACAUGUCUGGAGGGGAUCUUACAGAUAAAUAACCCAACAGUUAUACAUUAUCACUGGGUCAGAACAACCCAUUGGCGCAGUAUGAACUGAUAUGAGACAGAUACUUUAUUAAGUUUCAUUAAGGAAGUCUACUUAAAAUAGUAACCUCACAAUGAUAAACUCUUAUGUUUGGGACCUGCACACUGAGUGCAUCAUCGACCCACCGGUCUGGAAUUCCCCCCUACUGAACUCAAAACUAGAAUUUAAUGACUCAUCUGGCCCUCUUCCUCUGCAGUUCCCCUGAUAGUAUUGUGUUACUGGUCAGAAGGCUGUCCUUGUGCAGGCACGUUCUUAUCAGUCAACUUGUUAUGUUUAUGUACAAACAGCACAUUCCUGUGGGGGGACGGGCAUGCAGAACAGGAUCCGAGCAAAGCUCUGCAGCUGGAAGGUCAGGUUGAGAAAGAAAGAGCUAGAGAGAGAAAAAGAAAACACCAAAAGCCAGUAAAUGAUUAGAGGGCUCACAAUACUGCACACAAGAUCUGGAUAGGAUGAAGGGAGAGGAGGAGAGGGAGUAGCAGACAGGGUGGUUGAAGAGAUAGAUGGCCAUGGGAAGAAAAAGGGAGUAGAGACAGAGUACAACAGCAAAGUGUAAGCUGUAGUCAUAUAACCGAUGGGAGAGAGGGAGAAAAACUUUGCAGAAAGGAGAUAGGAGGUCGGAAGCAAAUGAGACCAAGGACAGAUAAGAGACUGUAAUUCCAACUAGCCGAUGAAAGAGGACGAAAAGUUUGUACAGGAAAAGAUACAAACAAUAAAACUGAAAAAAAAAAUUCUUUAGUAAAAAGAGAGAGUUUCAAGCACGGGGGGAAGUGAGACAGUUUCAGGAAGGAAAGGAAGGCUGGAGGCCUGAGUCUGGCAACUUCUGCAUUCUUUAAGUCCCUGGCCAUCAUCUGCCACUCCCAGGUCAAUGGUCAAGAGAAAGGACAAAUUGACAUAAACGCCACACCCAGAAGCUACACAUGGACUCAAUAAGAAGACACACGAGCGCACAAACACAAAUGGACUUAUGCAUGCAAGACUGCUUGCAUGAUGCAGGAGCCUUGUGCACCAGAGCACACACUAGGAGGCUCACAAGCACCCAGCCAAACAGAGACACACUGUAUGUAUAGCUUAUGCAUACAAAGUAUGCACACAAACGUCUGUACUCACAUUGUACAGAAUGUACACACUGAAUCAGAGACUGUCAAGAGUAAGGAUGAGCUGGAGACAAACAAAAAAUGUUAAAAUUAAUAAAGCUGAAGUGAAAUUAAAAUGUAUAUAUAAUUAGAAAUCAGUAUGUAUCUCCUUGGUGUUUGUUGUUUUUUGUACUUAUUUGGUCAAAAAUGUAAUUCUAAAAUUUUU